rnacentral:lncRNA from 1 species
ACUCGUCCACUCCAAUAAAGGAUCCUACAAUUGCAGGUGAGUCGCCAGAGUUGAGCAUUAUCAGAGCGAUGGCUACUCGCUCCUCUAAAGAAAAGAACCUCACAUAAAAAAGGAAGUAGUUGUUCAUAAUUUCCAAAGACGAUUCCUUCAGCAAGCUGCAGACGUAGUCAAAGGUUCUUCUAGGCAUUUUCAACACUGACUUGAGUGUUUGUGCAUCCUCCAAAAUACUAAGGGUUCCUGAAGAAGAUGCAAAAGUGGAACAUAAAUUUCAAUGCAACAACUCAGCUGCGACAGUGUUAAAAUUUCAUCCACAAAUUCAAAAAAAAGUAUUGUUCGACAACCCAUACAACAGAUAGAGAUCAGUUCGAUUUAGACUCUAUCCUAAAACUGUAGCUAGGUGUGAGUGAUCGUUUGUUAAAACUGUAGUAAGUAAUCGUUUUGUUUUGAUCAACUUUAGGUGUCAGAUCAGACACGUAAAAGAGGAGGCCAUCCGACAAAAGAUAGAGAUCAGUUCAAUUAAGACUCUAUCCUAAAAAAAAAGUUUAAAUUAGACUCACUGAAGACAAUAUAUACGGGCAUUGAGUAAAUUGCGAAAAAACACAUAUCCAGCGGAUUGAGUAAUCCACCAACCCAAGUAAUUUUAACUGAUACCCACGGGCACAAAACUAUUGACUAACAAAACACCCAAAACUUGCAGCUUUGGCGAAGUUCCCACAUGUCAUAGUCACGAGCCAUUUUUUGGCUUGAUUCUUCCUCCCGACCCGCUGGAGCCGCAUCUUGAGGCGAGCCGCUCACAUCUACAUCCUCCGGCGGGUUCAGCGGCAGAUUCAAGUUGACGAACGCGCAGGACAGUGAACCUGCCGAGGAGGUUGCGGUGGAAGAAGCGGGCGGGUUCCGACCUCGACCGCGAACUCCAUCCUCCGCCCAGCGGAUCCCAUCCGCGCCGGCUCUCUACGACGCCUCUAGCCUCUCGCCGUGGGAAACUGCUGCGGUGCGCCGUCAUCGUCGCAGGGCGGCAGGAAGAAUAUGCGGAGGCAGAAGGCGAACCCCUUCACCGUCGCGUACAACCGGGGUGGGCUCAUGGGGCAGUUCCUGUUUGGGUAGGGGGCUCAGGUGGCGGUUGCUGCUCGGGGAGGUGGGCUCCUGUCGCCGCCGGUGCUGGAGGAAGGGGGCGAGCAGGAGGGAGGAUUGAAGAGAAGACCUGGCGGCGAAUUUUGCCGGCAAAUGGAUACGGCUCGGCUUCCAUUGAACUUGGUCAACAAACCAGGCUCGUGCCUAUAUGACAGGUGGGCCAGGAUCAUCAACUUGGCCAAAUCUGCGAUUUUCGGGUGUUUUGUUACUCAUUAGUGUUGGACUUGUGGUCUGUUUAGGUGGGCGUGAGAUUACCUUUUAACCUCCUGCGUUGGUACCUCGCCUUGAUCGCUGGCCAUUCACGUGAUGGUACAUGGAGGUACCGUCCAUCUGCAGCCGUUAGAUUUGAAGACAUGGACGGUUGCAAAAAUAUCAAGCACCGGAGAACUUCCCAAAAAACAAAGUGUGGUGGCACGAUCUACUGCUGAAGCAGAGUUUAGGUCCACGGCUUCGGGAUUGUGUGAAUUGAUGUGGCUGACGAUAUUAUUAUCUGAACUCAAGCUGUUUGAUGGUGGACCACUGGAACUCAAUUGUGACAACCAAGCUGCAGUCAAUCCAGUCAUAGGGCUAAACAUGUUGAAAUUGAUAGAUACUUUAUAAAAAGAAAAGACAGAUGAGGGAACUCUCCAAGUUAACUUUGUUAGAUCUGAAAAUCAAAUUGCUGAUGUGUUGACAAAAGGUGUUAGGGCCAGUUGUUAAGGCUUCCUUGACCGGCUCCUCUGAAAAGCUGCCCUCCCCAGCUUCAUGAAGUAGUCGACAACUAAAUUUGAUUAGUCUUUGGCCUAAACUACUUUGAAAAUCUAUCUAAAUUUAGGAUGCGGCUUCUCCAGGAAGAUAGGUCCCGCCCAAGCAAUCCCGCUUCAAACCAACCAAAUCCAUGUCCUCCUGCCAGACAAUACAUUUUUCCCCGCGCACGCGACGGUGCAUUUCGCACCAUGUCGGCGGUGCAUUCCGCACCAUGUCGGCGGUGCAUUCCGCACCGGCAGUGCAUUGCGUGCCGGCGGUGCAUUUGUACCCGCGCCGGCAGUGCAUCACGCGCCGCUACUGGUGCACCCAUGCACCGCCAUCGGGGUAGGCAGUGCAUUCGUCGGAGCGCCGCCCGUGCACCGGUGCACUGCCGCCGGACCAUCACCGGUGCACUGGUGCACCUCGCACCGGCGCUUUCGCAGGACAGUGCACUUCGAAAUCAAUGACGAAUUGCGCCACCACGGCGCUGCUCCUCGCCGCCGCCGGUCGACGGCAGACCCCCGCCGGUGCGCCGCCGUCACCCCUCGCUCGCCGGCGGUGCGUCACGAUCUGCCGCCGCGCGGCCUCCUAAUGGUGCGCGCGGCCUAUAGGAGAGCCGGUUGCAGAAUAUACUAUACACACACAUGUUACUAGCUGCUCGUGGUACACGGUGCAACAUCGCUCAACGUGAAAUUUCUAAUUAGCAUGAUGACACUAAAAAACAAACUAAAAAGCCAGUAAUUGUAACAGAACCAAUUAAGAAGAGGGAGCGCAGUUGUGUUUCUUUACCUCCGGAUUCCAAUGGUUUGCUGGUCAACGACAACAUAUCCCUCGUUGCGACCGUGUCCUCAUCUGCUAACUGGCGUACUUGCUGGCUACGGUUCAUCUUCUGAUACUUUACUGUGCCUGCCUUACACUCCAUGUCUACCACUAUAUUAUGCAAUAUGUAACAUGCUUGGAUUGCCCGAGAAAGCUCAAGCUGAUUUUUUGGACGUCAACUCUCCGCGCAGGAUCUUCCAUGUGUCUUUCAACCUUGCUACAGAACUCGACACAACUAUUGUAGCUUCUGAGUGUCUCCUAUUGAACUCCACUCGACCAUCUGAGAGGUCAUUCUCCAACUGGUACGGUGUGAGCAGCCAGGGAAGAAGAGGAAAUGCUCCAUCACCAAUUAUGUAUUCUGCAACUUGCCAUCCAUUCAGCUUGCUACCAUUCAACCAAUUACCCUUCUCGCACUCCUUGAAGAGCCUAGAAUCCUUCAAAAUGCUUGACUCAUUCUUGUUGUCUAGCGACCCCAACCAAAUUUCUCUGAACUUCAUGUCUGUAGCAACUACAAGUUGGAUUAGCCUGCCGGCAUUCACCUCAUGAUCACUGUUUUCUGAUCCAAAUGUGAAGUAAGCUGUAUGUACAACACCACAGCAGUUUGGCAGCCGUGAAUGUUGUCAAACUUGUACUUGAUCUUCUCUAUUUCGCUGGAGUCUGGCCACCAUAAGUGGUGCGAAGCUCGCUGCCACAUAACAUCUGCAAACGUCUGGGUGAUCAGCGAGAUGGUUGCCUCGUUCACACCAAUAGAGGAUCCUAAGGUUGCAGCUGGGUUGCCAGAGUUGAGCAUUAUCAACGCAAUGGCUACUCUAUCUUCUAAAGAAAAGAACCUUAUAUCGAAAAAAAAGUAGAUGUUCAUAAUUCCCAAAGACAAUUCCUUCAGCAAGCUGCAGAUAUAGUCAAAGGUUCUUCUUUGCAUUUUCAACACAGAUUCGAUUAGUUGUGCAUCUUCAAAAAUAUCCAGGGUUCCUGCACGAGAAGAGGAUGCAAAAGUGGUUUCACAAUCCAUAACUUGAAGUCAAGAGCUGACUUGUCACAGGGUUAAAAUUGCAUCCAUAAAUUCAAAAGUAAUUGGUCGACAACAGAUACAGCAACUAGUAAUUGCUAAAACUGAAGUAAAUAUUCAUUCUUUUUUUUAACGAACUUUAGGUGUCAGAUCACACACCUAAAAGAGGAGGCCAUCCGGCCGGUUGCACACCAUAUAUCAGUUUCAAUUAAAUACAGUGACGACAAUAUAUACCUGCGCUACCUCAUGCACACAUAUGGCAAAUACUCAUUUAUUGUGUGUCUCUUGCUCCAAACUGCCGGACUCUCAAUAGCGGAAGAUCAUAUAACAUCCCACACGACACAUAUGCAUAUAUUUGUGCAUCUAUUGAAUAUGGAAAUUAGAUCAACUUCAUGCAAGAUCAAGAUUCGCCUUUAUGCACACAUGCAUGGUAAUUUUGGUUACAUAUAUAUACAUCUAAAAUUCUAUUACUAAAGAAUAAGGUGUCAUCACUCACGAUGUAGCUCGGCUUUGACAACCGGCAGUAAAUGAACCAUUCACACCAGGUGACCUGUUCACAAAGUUAAUUAACGUUGUUCUACGGUCGAGGUACUCUAUAAAAAUAUCAUUGCUCCAAGUGACGUCAACAGGGUUGUCAAGUUUCUUCUAGAACUUGUUGGUACCAGAAGAAAAAUCUAACAGACACAGAAACCAACCGAAUUAAGAUGCAGCAAUAUUAGUACUAAUUAAUUUACCUCCAGAUUCCGACGGUUUUCUAGUCAAGUGUUGCGACAAUAUAUCCCUUGCUGCUACUGCAUCCUCAUCUGCUAACUGGUGAACUUCCUGGCAAAGCUGCAUCUUGCGAUAGCUCGCUAUGCCUGCCUUACACUCCAUUUGUAUCACUAUAUUAUGCAAUGUGAAGCAUUCUAUGAUUGCCCGAGAAAGCUCAAGGUGAUUGUUUGGACACCAACUCUCUCCGUGCAGGAACUUCCACGUGUCUUUCAACCUUCCUACAGCCCUCGACACAACUGUCGUGGCUUCCGAGUGUUUCCUAUUGAACUUCAGUCGACAAUCUGAGAGGUCAUUCUCCAACUGGUAUGGUGUGAGCAGCCAGGGAAGAAGAGGAAAUGCUCCAUCACCAAUUAUGUAUUCUCCAACUUGCCAUCCAUCCGAUAAAUUCAGCUUGCUACCAUUCAACCAAUUACCCUUCUCGCACUCCUUGAAGAGCCUCGAAUCCUGCAAAAUGCUUGACUCGUUCGUGCUGUCUGGCGGCCCCAACCAAAUUUCUGUGAACCUCAUGUCUGUACCAACAACAACUUGGACUGGCCAGCCGUCAUUCACCUCAUGAUCACAGUUUAGUGAUCCGAAUGUGAAGUGAGCUGUAUGUACAACACCGCAGCAGUUUGGCAGGCCGUGAAUCUUGUCAAACUUGUACUUGAUCUUCUCAAUUUCGCCAGAGUCUGGCCAGCACACGUGUGAAGCUUGCUGCCACAUAACAUCUGCAAACGUCCGAGUUAUCAGCAAGACGGUGCCUCGUUCACACCAAUAGAGGAUCCUACGGUUGCAGGUGGGUUGCCAGAGUUGAGCAUUAUCAGCGCAAUGGCUACUCGAUCUUCUAAAGAAAAGCACCUCAGAUCAAAAAAGAAGUAGCUGUUCAUAAUUUCCAAAGACGAUUCCUUCAGCAAGCUGCAGACAUAGUCAAAGGUUUUUCUUGGCAUUUUCAACACAGACUCAAGUGUUUGUGCAUUCUCAAAAAUUGCCAGGGUUCCUGCGCAAGAAGAAGAUGCAGAAGUGCUGUCACAAUCGAUAACUUGAUGGCAAGAGCUCAGCUGUGAGAGUGUUAAAACUGCAUCCACCAAUUCAGAGACUAGUACCGAUCGGCAACCCAGGCCAUACAACACAACAGGUACAUACUUUUCUGUUUUAACCACAAUAUAAAAGAGGAAGCCGUCCGGCAGGUCACACACCAUAUUCGUGCACUACCUCAUGUAUUCAUAUGGCACAUACUCAUUUCGUGUCUGUUGCUCCAAUCGUCCAGAUUCUAUAGAUAUAUGAUAAUAUAAUAUAACACGAACCAAACAUUUAAAUAUGGAAUUAGGAUCAAUGUGGUUUGUCAGAAUUUUUUUGAUCAAUGUGCAUGUGUGAUAGACUCCUUUCUCCAGACAUGCAUGGUAAUUUUGGUUACACAUAUGUACAUCUAAAACUUUGUUCCUACACACACAUGCGCAUAUGUUUUUUUGAGAUUGACAAUGUGUAUAUGUACAUCUAAAGCUUAUUAAAGAACAAGGGGUCAUCAGACACAGUGUAGCUCGGCUUUGACAACUGGCAAUAAAUGAACCAUGCACACCAGGUGGUCUGUUCACAAAGUUAAGUAACGUUGUUCUAUGGUCGAUGUACUCCAUACAAAUAUCAUUGCUGCAAGCAACGACAGCAAGGUUGUACAUUUUUUAUUAUUUGAUAUUGUUUCUGUUAGAACAACUAGCAUAACAAACAAGGCAUUUGCGUGGCUAGAUUUAUUUGAUAUUGUUAUGCUCCCUCUGAUUCAUAUUACUUGUCUCAAACUUGUCCAAAUAUAAAUGUUUCUAUGUUUAAAAAGCGUCUAGAUACAUGUAAUAUUUCGACAAGUAAUAUGGAUCGGAGGGAGUAUUUUGAUGUUCUGUCCUGUCGGCUGGGACACAAUAACGAGUUAUAAUUCAAUUUAAUUUGCAGCUACACUCACAAUGAUAUAUCAAUCAUAGUAUUGAAAAAUUCAAUAACCACAUUUUGAAAAAAGACAUAAAUCUUUUUGGUCUCAAACAAAGAUAUGGUUCCUGAGAAAACUCUGUUAGUGUGAACAAUCAGACUUAAAGGAAUAAUCAUAUAGUCAAUUAGGUUUCUAAACUAGGUAAUAACAAUCUACUAUAUACUAAAAGUACAUGAAGAUAGAAAGACAAGAAAAUGCAAAAAAAGGCAAAACAUUUGACAGUUAAUAUGUGGACAUGGAUAAUUACAGCCAUUGGGAUCUUCCUAAUCGUAACGGCGGAAGAUCUCUCCAGGAACAUUACAUUGAUACCGCUGAUCGAGGUUAGGCCGGGAUCCUAGUUACUAAAUUUAUUAAAAGUGUAAAGAAUGUUCAAUGUAAUAAUAAUUACUAAAAUUAGAAAGUUGUAUUUAGUAACAUGACCAAACUUCCGAACUUUUGAAAAUACAUCAGGCAUAAACAUCAAGUUCUUCUAGAAAUUGUUGGUACCAGAAAGCAAAUUUAAAAGACAGCCAAACGAAUUAACAUGCAGCAACAGUUGUACUAAUUAAUUUACCUCCAGAUUCCGAUGGUUUGCUAGUCAAGUGUUGUGACAAUAUAUCCCUUGCCGUGAUCGCAUCCUCAUCUGCUAACUAGCGCACUUCCUAGCUACAGUUCAUCUUGUGAUAGCUUGACGUGCCUGCCUCACAGUCCAUUUUUAUCACUAUGUUAUGCAAUAUGCAACAUGCUAUGAUUGCCCGAGAAAGCUCAAGCUGAUUUUUCGGACGCCAACUCUCUCCGUGCAGGAUCAUCCAUGUGUCUUUCAACCUUGCUACAGCCCUCAACACAACUGUUGUGGCUUCUGAGUGUCCUAUUGAACUCCACUCGACCAUCUGAGAGGUCAUUCUCCAUCUGGUACGGUGUGAGCAGCCAGGGAAGAAGAGGAAAUGCUUCAUCACCAAUUAUGUAUUCUCUAACUUGCCAUCCAUCCGAUAAAUUCAGCUUGCUACCAUUCAACCAAGCACCCUUCUCGCACUCCUUGAAGAGCCUCGAAUCCUGCAAAAUGCUUGACUUGUUCGUGCUGUCUGGCGGCCCCAACCAAAUUUCUGUGAACCUCAUGUCUGUACCAACAACAACUUGGACUAGCCUGCAAGUCAUUCACCUCAUGAUCACAGUUUAGUGAUCCGAAUGUGAAGUGAGCUGUAUGUACAACACCGCAGCAGUUUGGCAAGCCGUGAAUCUUGUCAAACUUAUACUUGAUCUUCUCAAUUUCGCUGGCACACGUGUGAAGCUCGCUGCCACAUAACAUCUGCGAACGUCCGAGUUAUCAGCAAGACGGUUGCCUCAUUCACACCAAUAGAGGAUCCUACGGUUGCAGGUGUGUUGCCAGAGUUGAGCAUUAUCAGCGCAAUGGCUACUCGAUCUUCUAAAGAAAAGCACCUCAGAUCGAAAAAGAAGUAGCUGUUCAUAAUUUCCAAAGACGAUUCCUCCAGCAAGCUGCAGACAUAGUCAAAGGUUUUUCUUGGCAUUUUCAACACAGACUCAAGUUUUUGUGCAUCCUCAAAAAUAGCCAGGGUUC